rnacentral:rRNA from 1 species
CCUACGGGUGGCUGCAGUGGGGAAUAUUGCACAAUGGGCGCAAGCCUGCUGCAGCCAUGCCGCGUGUGUGAAGCAGGCCUUCGGGUUGUACAGCACUUUCAGCGGGGAGGAAGGCGUUAAGGUUAAUAACCUUGGCGAUUGACGUUACCCGCAGAAGAAGCACCGGCUAACUCCGUGCCAGCAGCCGCGGUAAUACGGAGGGUGCAAGCGUUAAUCGGAAUUACUGGGCGUAAAGCGCACGCAGGCGGUCUGUCAAGUCGGAUGUGAAAUCCCCGGGCUCAACCUGGGAACUGCAUUCGAAACUGGCAGGCUAGAGUCUUGUAGAGGGGGGUAGAAUGCCAGGUGUAGCGGUGAAAUGCGUAGAGAUCUGGAGGAAUACCGGUGGCGAAGGCGGCCCCCUGGACAAAGACUGACGCUCAGGUGCGAAAGCGUGGGGAGCAAACAGGAUUAGAUACCCGAGUAGUC